AAACGACUGGAAGAUCUGAGAGCACCACUAUUCAAAAAUCUGACCUAUCAAGCAAAACGACUGGUCCUCCUCUUGAAGCAACCAGUAGCGCCAUGACGGCUAAACUGAACACUUCUCCGUCUUUAACAACCUCAACGGAAAUAAUUUCAACUAACCCGUCAAGUACAACUUCAACAAAAGCAUCAACAACCACAUCAACAACAACAAAUGCACCAAUAACAACAACAGCAGCAGCAACCACGACCAUAAUCAAAACUACGACGACAACAACCACCACCACAAUACCACCAACUACUACGGCGCCAAAGUGCAUCUUGUCGUGCACCGAUUUCAACAAAUUUAUGUUGAGCACACCGUCGAUCAAACCGUCUCCAU